UACGAAGGGGGCUAGCGUUGCUCGGAAUCACUGGGCGUAAAGCGCACGUAGGCGGCUUCUUAAGUCAGGGGUGAAAUCCUGGAGCUCAACUCCAGAACUGCCUUUGAUACUGAGGAGCUUGAGUCCGGGAGAGGUGAGUGGAACUGCGAGUGUAGAGGUGAAAUUCGUAGAUAUUCGCAAGAACACCAGUGGCGAAGGCGACUGACUGGUCCGGUUCUGACGCUGAGGCGCGAAAGCGUGGGGAGCAAACAGGG
rnacentral:rRNA from 1 species